rnacentral:lncRNA from 1 species
GUGGGAGAUAUGAAGUUAUGAAGAGAUAGUUACUGGAUCAAAAUAGAAGAAAUGAUGCCUGGCAGCUAGAAAAAAAUAUUCAUGUGCAUUGAUUACACAAUAAACAAGUAAAUACGUGGGAAAACUGAGGCUGAGAUAAAGUAAUGACUUAAUGGCACAGUAAGAGACCAAGUUACGAUUUCAACCCAGAAAUACUUGAUUCCAAAGCCCCAACUCUACUGCAUGAUAUACUAAGCACUAUUAUAUCUCUACUUCUGAGUAGAAUGCUCCAAGAUUUUGCUGGGACAGGAAGGGUAUAAAUAGUACAUACAUACAUACACUUCCAUAUUAUUUUGGUGACAAUAAAAUUACGUCAUAAAAAUGU